rnacentral:tRNA from 1 species
GUCCCCGUAGCUCAGCAGGAUAGAGCGUCGGUUUCCUAAACCGAAGGUCGUGGGUUCGAAUCCCGCCGGGGACA